CCACUGCACCUUCAGCAUCCUCACUGAGGCCCCUCCCCCGUUUCCCGCAAAGAGAGGCGCCUAGACAGCGCACUGCGUCGCGGCUGCACGAUUUCGCGUUCGGCUUUGCUCUCUUCUUUUUCCCACACGCAAAGAGAAACACACGCGCCCACCAGCCAUGCCGGGAAUGAAGCUGGAUUUUCUCAAGAACACCGCGCAGCGCGUGGCGAUGGGGAAGUCGCUGCCGCUGAAACAGGUGGAGGCGAUUGUGCUGUACGGCAAGCCGGCGCAGCGGGCCAAGGUGGUGCAGAAGCUCCUUCCAGCCGUCUAUGGACUCUCUCUCAACAAGACGACGCAUCACAUUCUCCUGACGCUCUUGGACCACUGCGAGAACAUGGAUCGCGUAAAAAUGCUCUACCACGUGCGUAGGAAGCUACUGGACCUGGCCCAGUCGCCGGUGGGAAACUCCGUGCUGCAGCGCAUGCUGGAAAAGGUCCCGGUGCGCCAGAAGAAGGAGAUCGCUGAGGCGUUCGUGCUGAACGUGGACGAGGACGAGUUCAGGCGCCUCUGCGAGCAUCCGUUUGGCAACCACGUGGCGCAGAAGUUAAUGGAGGUGCCGGCGUGCGUCGAAGUGGUGCUUCCACAUUUUCUACCGCACCUGACGAGCCUCAGUCUCCAUCCAUAUGGCAUGCGCGUGGUGGCCAAGUACGUCGAGUGUGUCGCUGACGGGUGCAGCAAAACGAUUGAGGCGCUCUUUCCAUCUUACGCGAAGGCAGACCCAGAAGGCGAUGAUGCCGCGGUGGCAGCCUCUGACGCGCUCGACAAGUCCGUUUUAGCGCUCUUCCGCUCCGCCGAGGAGUCGCUCGUGCUCACAGCGUUGCUGCGUCACAUUCGCACGCCGGUCGAGGUAAAGGACGCGAUUGCGGCACACGUGAGCGAGUUCGCGGCGGACUACCUGCUGCCCGCCUCGGCACCGCUGGAAGGCCUGGCUAAGAAACGCGGUAGCGAUGAAGACGAGUACGGGUUGCCCGACUUCGGCACUGGCUCCAUCUCUGCGAAAUCUGUAGCGGCCACCGACAUACCUGCGAAUGUCCAUGUCUACUGUGCGGUUCUCGAGCACGGUGACGAUGUGCAACGCGCCGACUUGUGGUCGGCGCUAUCUGCAAGCGCCGACAUUCUGCACGCCAUCACGCACACGAAGGGGGCGGUGCUCGUGGGCGUGGCGGCCGUGCGUUUUGUGGAGGCGGCGCGCAAGGGGCUGUUUGAUGCCAUGCUGUUGUCGACUCCUGCAGGCGCGCAGUCCAACGGUAGGGACGCGGGGUCGAGUACGGCUGGUGCGGCGGACACGACUGCCACUUCGAGACCCGACAAGAAGGGCCCCAAGAAAAAGAAGGCAACGAAGAGCGACGAGGCGGAGCCAUCUAGCAACAAGGAUGUUGCCAGGAGCUCCAUUGUAGACGUCGCCACUGACCCGGUGCGGUCGGUUCUGCUGCGCGCCUUUGUCGAGGUUGCUCGCGACACCAUACCGGGGAAAGAUACCCAGCUCCUUGUGCACGACGCUGUCACACUCGCGCAAAACUCCGUCAGCUCCCCAGUGCUGCAGAAGAUGGUGGAGACCGACCUCACCGGCGGGUUUGCCAGCGACGUCCUGGCGGUACUGCUCAACUCUACCGAAUUCACGAGCCUCGUCACGCACCCCGCGGCAUCCUUCCUCUUGCAGUCGAUCCUUCAGUUUGCCCCGGAGGAGGUGCGGGCGCCGUUGGUGGCGGCGCUUUCGAGCUACUACGCGGCACACCUGCAUGACUCUCUCUCGUACGCGCAGGGCUCGCGUGUGAUGCAGAAGCUGCUAGCCUAUGCACCAGAUGCGACGGUGGUGCAGACAGUGAACCAGCUCAUCUCUGAGGCAACCAAGGAGGAGGAGAUGGAGGAGGCAAAGUGCACCGACGGCAGCUGCGCUGACGCGGUAGAUGAGGAGGGUGUGACCGAUACGGGGGAGAAAAAAGAGGUGAAGAGGGUGAGCCGCAAGGAGCAACGGGAGCUGAACCGGGCCAAGCACUACGAGGUCCUCUCUCAUGCACUUGUCUCCUACGCCUUGCACACGCACGCGUGCUAUGUCGUACAGGCGCUGCUGCGAGAGGUGCGCACACGCCAGCUCGACCGCGAGCGCAAGCUGCUCAUGAACGAGCUGAAGCCGCACGUCUUCGAGCUGGCGGUCUCGCCGUGGGCCGGUCGCGUGGUGCUGGACACAAUGAUGUCCGUCGGCAGCGCACAGCUCGCAGACGCCAUGAAGAAUGUCGCCUUCAUGCGGGCAGAGGAGUGGCUGUCGGACGUUUCCGAGGAGAAGAAGCGCCGCGGCAACGGCGUUGACCCGACACUGCGCAACAUUCUGAAGCGCCAGCGCGAGGAGAUAGACAAGGGCGUGGAGUCGAAGGCUACGGAGGGAUCUAGCAGCGCCGAAGGGAAAUGCGCACCAGCGCACAAGAAGAAGAAACUCUUCCGCUCUAUGAAGAAGUAGGUGCAACGACCACAGCUGAAGGGGGUUUUCCUGCUGUGCUUAUCGAGUGUGAGCUAGUCCGCCUCACUACGGCUUGUGCGUACUUGGUGCCGGAACUCGCUUCCAUGCGAGUGCGCAAUCUGCUGGUGCCGGAAUGCAGCUGCUACAGCUCCAGUGAGGAUGAGCAAAGGAGGACGAAAGUCUGUGGGAGCUGGUGCAUUGAUCGCGUUGCCCACCCCCUCCCUGCCGAAAUUCUUGGUGCCCAGCCCUCUCUCUCUCGUUCGAUGUUGUCCGCUAUGCGUUCAGAGUCUCCCGUGGCGAGCUGAGGCCCGUGCGAAGGUGCUUGCUUGCGUGUCUGUCCUUUUUCUCCAUAUGAGUGCUUACGUAAGUCGGUCGAUCCCCUCUUUUCCAUUUUGUUUUCGGUUUCGUGUGGCUCACAAGUUCGAUUUAACUCAGCCACCGCUAAAGGAAGAAGCAGAAAAAAAAACGAUAGGUAAAGGUGUACGGAUGUAAUGUGCGACGUCUAAGUUGUCAAGUAUCAAAAGUCAAACUGCAAUGGCAUGAACGAACAAGAGAAAGCGCCCUUGUGCGGUUGAAAUCUCGUAGUCGUCGUCUUCCUCGCCCUCACGCUCCAUCAUGGCUGCGUGCGCACCUCAU
rnacentral:misc_RNA from 1 species